CCGACAUGGACAUCCAGAGAGAUCUUCUCCUGGCUCUGUCCUGGUGGCGUAUGGGAGCGUAGCUCUGAGCCGGGACGUACAUUCCCGUUCCACGAUGUCGGACACAAAGCUCCGUCCCCGGCCGCCGGCCGUGAGGACGAGCGUCCUGCAUAUUCCUACAACUUCCCAGAGUCCUUUGGGCCGUUACUGGGGAGCUAAACCAUGCAGGACACAGAU